rnacentral:rRNA from 1 species
GACGAACGCUGGCGGCGUGCUUAACACAUGCAAGUCGAACGGAAAGGCCCUGAUCUUGUGGGGUGCUCGAGUGGCGAACGGGUGAGUAACACGUGAGUAACCUGCCCUUGACUUUGGGAUAACUUCAGGAAAAUGGGGCUAAUACCGGAUAUGAGAUACUGCUGCAUGGUGGGGGAUGGAAAGAUACGGCGGUUGGGGAUGGAAUCGCGGGUUACGGGCUUGUUUGUGGGGUAGUGGAUUACAAAGGGUUUGAAGGGUAGGCGGCCUAGGAGGGUCGCCGGCGACAUGGGUACUGAGGGACGGACCAGAAGCCAACGUGAGGCAACAGUGGAGAAUCUUGCAGAAUGGGCGGGCGCGUGAUACAAAGGCCCCGGGUGCGGGAUGCCGGGUUUCGGGUUGUGAACCGCUUUCGCCUGAGACGAAGCGUGAGUGACGGUAAUGGGUAAAGAAGCACCGGCUAACUACGUG